rnacentral:ribozyme from 13 species
UUCUUUCUUUUCUUUCUUUUCUUUCUUGUUCUUUCUCAAGGCUGCGAGAUUCCCUUUCUGAGAGAAUGAAGGAGGUGCCUCCUGAAAAGGGAAAAGAAGAGAAAGGAAAAGA